rnacentral:lncRNA from 1 species
CCAGCCACAACUCAGGGCAGCGGCAGAGGUAGAGGGAGAGGGGCAGCCUCUUCUUCUGGUUCCCGAGGUGAAGGUCCAUCAGCUCCAGCCAGGAUCUUCACCAUGACUCAGCAGGAGGCAAACACAUCCAACACCGUGGUGUCAGGUAAUCUCGUCAUUGGGUGUUCUAAUGUGUAUGCAUUAAUGGACCCGGGUGCAUCUCAUUCAUUUAUUGCUCCGAGAGCCGUUGAGAGGUUGGGUCUGAUAGUCUCUGGGUUAGAGUGUCCCCUAUGGGUCAGUGGACCCAAGUGUGAC